GUGCCAGCAGCCGCGGUAAUACGUAGGGGGCGAGCGUUGUCCGGAAUUAUUGGGCGUAAAGCGCGCGCAGGCGGUUCUCUUAAGUCUGAUGUGAAAGCCCACGGCUCAACCGUGGAGGGUCAUUGGAAACUGGGGGACUUGAGGGCAGGAGAGGAGAGCGGAAUUCCACGUGUAGCGGUGAAAUGCGUAGAGAUGUGGAGGAACACCAGUGGCGAAGGCGGCUCUCUGGCCUGCACCUGACGCUGAGGCGCGAAAGCGUGGGGAGCAAACAGGAUUAGAUACCCUGGUAGUCCACGCCGUAAACGAUGAGUGCUAAGUGUUAGAGGGGUCACACCCUUUAGUGCUGCAGCUAACGCGAUAAGCACUCCGCCUGGGGAGUUACGGCCGCAAGCUGAAAACUCAAAGGAAUUGACGG
rnacentral:rRNA from 1 species